rnacentral:rRNA from 1 species
AGCAGCCGCGGUAAUUCCAGCUCCAAUAGCGUAUAUUAAAGUUGUUGCAGUUAAAAAGCUCGUAGUUGAAUUUCGGGAUCAAUAUGUUGGUCGUGCCUUUGGUACGUACUAGCUUAUUGAUUUCUCCCUUCUGACGAACCAUGAUGUCAUUAAUUUGGUGUCAUGGGGAAUCAGGACUGUUACUUUGAAAAAUUAGAGUGUUUAAAGCAGGCUUACGCUUGAAUAUAUUAGCAUGGAAUAAUGAAAUAGGACGUUUUGAUUCUAUUUUGUUGGUUUCUAGGAUCGACGUAAUGAUUAAUAGGGAUAGUUGGGGGCAUUAGUAUUCAAUUGUCAGAGGUGAAAUUCUUGGAUUUAUUGAAGACUAACUACUGCGAAAGCAUUUGCCAAGGAUGUUUUCAUUAAUCAAGAACGAAAGUUAGGGGAUCGAAGACGAUCAGAUACCGUCGUAGUCUUAACCAUAAACUAUGCCGACUAGGGAUCGGAUGAUGUUAAUUUUUAAUGUACUCAUUCGGCGCCUUAA